rnacentral:rRNA from 1 species
UACGAAGGGGGCUAGCGUUGUUCGGAAUUACUGGGCGUAAAGCGCGCGCAGGUGGUCUUUCAAGUCAGUGGUGAAAGCCCGGAGCUCAACUCCGGAAAUGCCAUUGAAACUGUAAGACUUGAGGAUGAGAGAGGUGAGUGGAAUUCCCAGUGUAGAGGUGAAAUUCGUAGAUAUCAGGAGGAAUACCGAUGGCGAAGGCAGGUCUCUGGGCUGACACUGACGCUCAUGCACGAAAGCGUGGGGAGCAAACAGG